AGCAACGCCGCGUGAGUGAAGAAGGCUUUCGGGUCGUAAAACUCUGUUGUUGGAGAAGAAUGGUCGGCAGAGUAACUGUUGUCGGCGUGACGGUAUCCAACCAGAAAGCCACGGCUAACUACGUGCCAGCAGCCGCGGUAAUACGUAGGUGGCAAGCGUUAUCCGGAUUUAUUGGGCGUAAAGCGAGCGCAGGCGGUUUUUUAAGUCUGAUGUGAAAGCCCUCGGCUUAACCGAGGAAGUGCAUCGGAAACUGGGAAACUUGAGUGCAGAAGAGGACAGUGGAACUCCAUGUGUAGCGGUGAAAUGCGUAGAUAUAUGGAAGAACACCAGUGGCGAAGGCGGCUGUCUGGUCUGUAACUGACGCUGAGGCUCGAAAGCAUGGGUAGCGAACAGGAUUAGAUACCCUGGUAGUCCAUGCCGUAAACGAUGAAUGCUAGGUGUUGGAGGGUUUCCGCCCUUCAGUGCCGCAGCUAACGCAUUAAGCAUUCCGCCUGGGGAGUACGACCGCAAGGUUGAAACUCAAAGGAAUUGACGGGGGCCCGCACAAGCGGUGGAGCAUGUGGUUUAAUUCGAAGCAACGCGAAGAACCUUACCAGGUCUUGACAUCUUUUGAUCACCUGAGAGAUCAGGUUUCCCCUUCGGGGCAAAUGACAGGUGGUGCAUGGUCGUCGUCAGCUCGUGUCGUGAGAUGUUGG
rnacentral:rRNA from 2 species